UACGGAGGGGGCUAGCGUUGUUCGGAAUUACUGGGCGUAAAGCGCACGUAGGCGGCUUUGUAAGUUAGAGGUGAAAGCCCGGGGCUCAACUCCGGAAUUGCCUUUGAAACUGUCAGGCCCGAGUACGGGAGAGGUGAGUGGAAUUCCCAGUGUAGAGGUGAAAUUCGUAGAUAUUGGGAAGAACACCGGUGGCGAAGGCGGCUCACUGGCCCGUUUCUGACGCUGAGGCGCGAAAGCGUGGGGAGCAAACAGG
rnacentral:rRNA from 1 species